rnacentral:rRNA from 1 species
AAUAGAUACCCUGGUAGUCCACGCCGUAAACGAUGAGUGCUAAGUGUUAGAGGGUUUCCGCCCUUUAGUGCUGCAGCUAACGCAUUAAGCACUCCGCCUGGGGAGUACGGUCGCAAGACUGAAACUCAAAGGAAUUGACGGGGGCCCGCACAAGCGGUGGAGCAUGUGGUUUAAUUCGAAGCAACGCGAAGAACCUUACCAGGUCUUGACAUCCUCUGACAACUCUAGAGAUAGAGCGUUCCCCUUCGGGGGACAGAGUGACAGGUGGUGCAUGGUUGUCGUCAGCUCGUGUCGUGAGAUGUUGGGUUAAGUCCCGCAACGAGCGCAACCCUUGAUCUUAGUUGCCAGCAUUCAGUUGGGCACUCUAAGGUGACUGCCGGUGACAAACCGGAGGAAGGUGGGGAUGACGUCAAAUCAUCAUGCCCCUUAUGACCUGGGCUACACACGUGCUACAAUGGAUGGUACAAAGGGCUGCAAGACCGCGAGGUCAAGCCAAUCCCAUAAAAACCAUUCUCAGUUCGGAUUGU